GUGAUAAGCUUGCACUGACUUUUAGUUACAUCUGAUGAUCUUUCCACAAAAAAUGUAUUAUAGAGUGUAAUAUUUACAGUGUGGGGAUGUUGGUGGCCAAGAAAGUUUAUGCCCUUGUGAAGACAUUACUAUGAAGUCCUAAGUUAUCCUGUAAAAAGGAUUCUUAUGAUACGCAUGGAUAAUACGAUUGAACCAACUGUUACCGGUGCAAUGCUUUUGGGGUCGACCAAAACAUUUAAAAAUGUUAAAUGUGGUUAUGUGAUAAAAUCAAGUAUGAAGGAGGAAGAGAUCAACACCAGCCGCGGCAACAAAGAUGACAGUGUGUCUCACUGAGCAUGAGCAAUGGCACACUCUUGUCGAGUACCUACCAAGAUGCUUCCCUGGUCAGACUUCGAGCACUUCCUCCUUGCCGCCGCCGCCUUGGCUAAUGUUGUUGUUUCCUCGGAUAAGCCGUAUCAGGUUGGUUCCAUUGCACUGCAAAUACUACCACUUCUAUUGGGCAACUAAAUUCAACUUGCAAGCACGGGAAAACAUGUACACCAAUGUUGUCGGGCGCGCGGAAGCCAAUUCCUUGGGUCACCCAUUGUACAUCUGCUGCUCUAACAGUAACCAUGCCUUGCUCCCAGUAAAUUUGAGCUCGCAGCCAUUUAGGUAGAUUCUUGUCAUGCUCACAUCUAGCAGCAAGAAAAAAGAGAAGCAGAUGACCAAACUGUAAUGUCUUAGUGGUAGUGUAGACCACCAAGAUAUGAUGCUCUAAUCCAAAAUAUUAUAGGAAUAUCUACUUACUUUAACCACUUUUCGUAAUUGGUAUUUAAUCCAUCUACAUGUAGAAACACGAAAUGCAGAUAUUGUUUUGUUGAGAAAUUUUAUGAUUUGCCCAAAUGAUUAUGGACCGUA